GUCAGCUUGGGCGCGGAGGAGUGUUUUUUCUCGGAGUUACGAAGUUCCUCCUUCUGUAGCUAAUUCAUUUGUAAGACGAUCGCGUUCAUACAGCGCGCUCUGCGGCAGGUGCGGGCAAGCGUACCUUAGCUAUCUUGGUCGUUUCUGCGGACGGACUUUGUGACAGUCUCUGCUCAGCGUAGGGCUUGCCAAACGUGCAGUCUGUCCUUUUGAAAGGAUGGCUUUUACCCCAUUCUAUACCAAGAACAAAAAUAACCUUUUGAACAGGGAGACGCGCAUGAUCUAAUUGCCUCAUGAUCGUGGUAUCCUGGUGGGAUGUGGAGACCUGCUCAGGUCCUGCCGAGCCAGACAGAAUGCAGUCUUGACAACUAGGCUGGGGUUAUUCUGGUGUGGAAGAUCAGCUGUCUGUGGUUGGAGCUGCUCCCUGGCAUAUAACCGAUUAAGUAUUGAUCAAGCUAAAAAGAAAGACAGCUUAGCACUUUCUGGCCAGGUCAGGUCACUUCAAUGGGUUCAGCUCCUUGCUCUAAAUCAAGCAAGGCAAAGCCUUGGGCUCUGCAAAGCUCAGCUGCCUGCUCAGACCAACAAGUUAUUUAUUUUCUGUCCCAGACAACUCCAUUUUCUUGCCUACAUCCACUGCUGGAGCUCAAGAAAUGUUUCCAAUAGCAAUUUUGUCAAAACUGGUAUAUUACCAGGAAAAAACUUUGACUCCAGAUAAAAAAAAUUCCUGACCAUCUAUAAUUAGAAUUUCUGACAGAAUUCCCAAUAUUGUUUGACUUACCCUUUUUGCAUAAAAUCACUUUUCCCUGAGUUCAGAUAAAAAUAGUGAGUCUAUUUGAUGACUUUUAUUUUUGUCUCAUCAGCCUGAAUAAUACCCAUAUGUUUCUAAUGAUUUGCAACAUUUUAAACAAGAAACUUGCACAAAAAGUCAUAUGCAGGUUCUUAAUAUAAUUUUUUCUUUGCUGUAAGUAGAAACAACCAAAUAGCAGAUAGGAACUGCCAUUCUGUGUCUCAGAAGCUCUGGACAGGAUUAUAGAUUUAUUGAGCAGAGUGUACUACUCUGUGUCUUACCCUGCUUGUUAGUCUUUGCAGACUAGGGAAGUAGUUAGCUAAAGCAUUUAGCACUCUUACUUUACUUUAGGCCUUCAAAUCCUUUAGCAUGUCAGUCAACAAUUGAUAAUAUUGGCAAGCACUUUUUUGUUUAAAUACUUACAUUAAACUUCAAUUUAACAUUGCUAGACAUACUCAGAGGUAUUUGAGGCUGAUUCCAGGAAUCUUGCUGUUAACUAAUAAACACAGAAGGGAAAGCUUUUAAGUAUUUGUACAAGUGUACUUCUACAAGAGGAGUUUCUCAUUCCCUGUACAUUUGAAUGGGCAUGCUUGAAAGUAUGUCUUUUCUCCAUUACGUAUAUUCAUCUGGUUACUGAAGACUCAACUGUAAUAUCCUAUUGUAUUUAGAAAUUUUCCAGCAAUACUUUGGGAGAGAAAAAUCAUUUCUAAAUAUUCAACAUAAAAGGAAAAAUGACACCAGUAUAACAAAUAUGAUUCAUCAGUCAUUUUUAUUCUCUUUGAGAACUUUAUUUGAAAUGCUUAGGUAAGUGGAAGGCAGUCAAUAAUAUUCUUAAUCCCAAAGUAAGAAACAGUGGGCAAAAUUCCACCCAACAUACUGGUAAAAUACAGUUUCUUAUUAGCAAUAAGCACUUAUGCAGUGCAAAUUUUGAAGUAUUCUGAUAUACUAAAUUAUCAAAUUAAUCACAUUGAAUACAUAAAAUCUCUUGUUUAGAACAGUAAAAGAAUCUCAUCAUUGCUCAGUAUUUUGGACCAGCAACUGGUAAUCAGACAACUGAGUCCAUGAUGAGCUUAGUCAAUAUUGUAGUUUAAUUAUUUGUGAUUGCCUUUUCAAUUUUUACAAUUUCCUCCCGUUCUUUCUUUUUAAAUAUAUGAUACUAUGGUUUUAACAGCCUAAUUGUUCCCGUUGCUUCUAUAGAGACUGGUGGUGGGGUUGCUGGUAUCUGGCUUGUACUUUAGUAGCUUACAGAAACAUAAGCUACUCUGUGUCACAAUCUGAAGUGUAGUCCAGCUAUCAUCGGUGACUUGAUGUCUGAUGAAGACAACUGCUACUGGAAUAUCUGUUACCUGCUGGAUAGCUUUACAGAUGAUCUGUGGGCGCUUUACAAUGAUAACAGCAGUUAUUAUUGCAAUGAUUAUAGCUUAGUAUGUAUCAUGACUUAAAGGUGAGAUUUUAUAUGUAAUAUUCAUUCCACUGAUGGAGAGAAAGCCAUCCAACAUGAAACUUUUGUCAUUCAUAAGUAUGAAUUGCUCAUUCUGCAAAACCGAAAACUGCUAUUCUGCUUAUGAAAAGACUAGUCAUAACAAUGCAUUCCUUAAGCUGAUUGUUAGAUGUUUGUUAUUCUAGCAUUAGCAAUCUUACUGUUUAUUACUGUCAUGUAGCUUGUACUGAAUUGGAAGAAUUUACAUCCUGAACCAUUCCUGAUCUGGUGAAUUCCAUGUAAGGAAUUACAAAAUACUCUUUACCACUCCUUUGUCAGGGCUGGGAAAAAUUGGCGUCGGGCUUUUAGAACAAAUCUGUCAGACAUCUCAUUUGUUUGCUUGUCUCUUCACUAUGGCUACCUUCUACCUCAAAUUGGAUUAAAAGACUCCUCCAGAGUUGGACUGUAAUCUGCUCCUGUCUCUGGAUAAGUGAGUAGGAUAGCAUUAUCAAACAGUAUAGUUUCCCAUUACUUUAUGUGUAACAUCCACCACCAGGUAAAUAUGCUUACACAAGUAAGAGCUUGUACAUUAUUUAGGCUUUCUAAUUUAGAAAUACCUGUAAGAUACGAUACUUUUUGAUUGAAUAAUUUAAUUAAAACUCGAUUGAGUAACUCUUGAUCUGUGAGGCAGAUGAAACACUUGCUAAAAUACUUUGGUUGACCACAUAGUUGAGAAAAAAAAUCAUUGUAACCUUACAUUAAUCUCUGCUAAAUGCCUGUGCUUUAUCUGCGCUGAUAGGGGAGGAAAGCUGGUAAUGAGCAUAAGGACUUUAUUUUCAGUCCUCUAACCUAAAAUUUUCUAGGAGUGCUUGAAGGUAAUUGUGCUACUGAGGUCCAGGCUCUCUCACUGACAUUUCUUUGUAAAAAGCCUGAAUUCAGAUUGCUAACAGGAAGAGAGGUGUUCAGGGCAAUACCAAUCACUCCCAUGCAAGAGAGAUAGAAGCUAUUGUGCCUGUCACACUAUUUCUCAGUUUGCCACCAAAAAAAAAAAAGAAAAAAGACUGCAUAUCAAAGUGUCUUUUCAAUUGGAAAAUGGAGCCCUUUUGAGCUAAGCUGUUCUUGAUGGCCCUCUAAAACAAAACUCAUAGCAAUGAAUUUGGUUCCAAGUAAGGCCUUGAGGCUUGUCUUCCCAGCAAUGCACAUUUUGCCAAGAAUGUCUUCAUUUAAAUGUGAAGAGCUUUACCAAAGGCAAGAUGGUAGACCAUCCUUUUCUAGAUAAAGGGCUUAUCAUCACCUAAGUCACUUUAUAUAAGAAUCCGUGGGCCUAACCAACUUGAAUAUUUUAGUAUAAGAUUUGGAAAUAGGACUGGAGAUCUCGGUUUGUGUAAGUUUGCAGUCCUCCAGGAGGUUCUGGGCAGCUUUCUCCGUGAUAGAAAAAACACAAGUAAAGCAGGAUAGAGACCAGAAGACAUGAAUGUGGUAACAGUAUGCUCAGGGCUCACUCAAAACCUGGAAGGGGUGGACAAUGGGAGGGGUGUGAUUAAUUCUCUCAAGUAAACCUGAGACUGAGAAUCUUACCCUAUGGAAGGUGAUUAAAAUGGGUAUUUAUUUCAACUUUUUCAGGCAAAUAGAUUGAGUUGCUAAGACUGAAGUAGAAGGUACAGCAAACAUAAUAGAGCUCCACAAAAGAACGAUAAAGCUUUCAUAAGAUCUCAAUGAUCUGAACAAUGUGUGAGACUUAGAGAGAACAAAGUUGGGACAAGUUGUACAAUAUGUGGAAAUGUAUGGAAAAUCUCUAUGGAAAAGUCAGGAUGAAGAAUGAGUUACUGACCUGUAAGACCUGGCAAUUAGUAUGCAGAGCACUGCAGCAUUUUGCAGUCUGGCACACAGCUCUAAGAAUUACAGCUUCCUGAAGAACUGGGCACCUUGAUCUAAGAAUCUAGGUGGCUUGUUUAGUUUCAGAAUUAGAGAAGAGCUUCUGUACUUGUUUGAAUAUCCCACUCUGCUCAUUUAGCACCUGCUGAAAUAUGUGGUGAUUCUCAUUUACUGGUACACUUUGAAUAAAAGCAUGAACAUAUACACCAGUGUCAAAGAUUGUAAAAUUGGAUUGUGAAAGGAGCAUGGAUUUAUUUUGAAUGGAAAGAAUCAGACUUUCCAUAUUCCUGGACUGUAUAAUUGGAAAAGAUUUAUUAAAGACUCUAGAGCAUGCAGUGCAUACUGCUUUGGACAGAGAUUACGGCUUUGUCUAAUUUAGAUGGCUUUUUGGCAUUCUUUCUACCACAGUGUCUUGCAACAGUUUAUACAUUGAACUAUCUUUAAUAGUUAUUCUCUCCUGCUAACUUUUUGGUAUCUCCCCAAAAAUGCAAAGAUAAUAUGAAUGCAAUAGAGCAUUAUGUGACUAUGAUAAGUACAUACAUUUUUCUCCCUAUCUCACAAGGAACUUCAAAAUUCAUUUUCAUAUAUGAUUAUCACAACAUUAGCAGCUCUUUGGUUAGCAAGAAGGAGGAACCUUAAAAUUCCAGCAUUUCAUUUUUACAUCUUAUUUAGGCUUGUUUGGCUCUGUGUGAAGCUCAUUUUGUACAGCAGUGACAGCCCUGACUUCCACAUAUAUCCCUGGCCAAAUUAAUCUUUAGGUAUAACCCAGUAGCUGCUUUUAUGUUAAGGCUGGCCUUCAGCUUCCUCAGUAUAAACUCUAGGUUGCUGAAUUUAUAAGUAUUUCCCAGUAGUUUCCACUGGAGUCCACUGGUGACCAAAGGCACUGGUGAACUUCACCCUGGGGCAGUUGAGAAUCAUCCAUAUGUUGGGUUUUGAUGCAUUAAAAUUACAAA